rnacentral:rRNA from 1 species
GCGGAACGAGUUAUCUGAACCUUCGGGGAACGAUAACGGCGUCGAGCGGCGGACGGGUGAGUAAUGCCUAGGAAAUUGCCCUGAUGUGGGGGAUAACCAUUGGAAACGAUGGCUAAUACCGCAUGAUGCCUACGGGCCAAAGAGGGGGACCUUCGGGCCUCUCGCGUCAGGAUAUGCCUAGGUGGGAUUAGCUAGUUGGUGAGGUAAGGGCUCACCAAGGCGACGAUCCCUAGCUGGUCUGAGAGGAUGAUCAGCCACACUGGAACUGAGACACGGUCCAGACUCCUACGGGAGGCAGCAGUGGGGAAUAUUGCACAAUGGGCGCAAGCCUGAUGCAGCCAUGCCGCGUGUGUGAAGAAGGCCUUCGGGUUGUAAAGCACUUUCAGUCGUGAGGAAGGUGGUGUAGUUAAUAGCUGUAUUAUUUGACGUUAGCGACAGAAGAAGCACCGGCUAACUCCGUGCCAGCAGCCGCGGUAAUACGGAGGGUGCGAGCGUUAAUCGGAAUUACUGGGCGUAAAGCGCAUGCAGGUGGUUUGUUAAGUCAGAUGUGAAAGCCCGGGGCUCAACCUCGGAAUAGCAUUUGAAACUGGCAGACUAGAGUACUGUAGAGGGGGGUAGAAUUUCAGGUGUAGCGGUGAAAUGCGUAGAGAUCUGAAGGAAUACCGGUGGCGAAGGCGGCCCCCUGGACAGAUACUGACACUCAGAUGCGAAAGCGUGGGGAGCAAACAGGAUUAGAUACCCUGGUAGUCCACGCCGUAAACGAUGUCUACUUGGAGGUUGUGGCCUUGAGCCGUGGCUUUCGGAGCUAACGCGUUAAGUAGACCGCCUGGGGAGUACGGUCGCAAGAUUAAAACUCAAAUGAAUUGACGGGGGCCCGCACAAGCGGUGGAGCAUGUGGUUUAAUUCGAUGCAACGCGAAGAACCUUACCUACUCUUGACAUCCAGAGAACUUUCCAGAGAUGGAUUGGUGCCUUCGGGAACUCUGAGACAGGUGCUGCAUGGCUGUCCUCAGCUCCUGGUUGUGAAAUGUUUGGGUUA